rnacentral:rRNA from 1 species
CCUACGGGAGGCUGCAGUGGGGAAUAUUGCACAAUGGGCGCAAGCCUGAUGCAGCCAUGCCGCGUGUGUGAAGAAGGCCUUCGGGUUGUAAAGCACUUUCAGCGGGGAGGAAGGCGUUAAGGUUAAUAACCUUGGCGAUUGACGUUACCCGCAGAAGAAGCACCGGCUAACUCCGUGCCAGCAGCCGCGGUAAUACGGAGGGUGCAAGCGUUAAUCGGAAUUACUGGGCGUAAAGCGCACGCAGGCGGUCUGUCAAGUCGGAUGUGAAAUCCCCGGGCUCAACCUGGGAACUGCAUUCGAAACUGGCAGGCUAGAGUCUUGUAGAGGGGGGCAGAAUUCCAGGUGUAGCGGUGAAAUGCGUAGAGAUCUGGAGGAAUACCGGUGGCGAAGGCGGCCCCCUGGACAAAGACUGACGCUCAGGUGCGAAAGCGUGGGGAGCAAACAGGAUUAGAUACCCGAGUAGUC